rnacentral:rRNA from 1 species
GACGAACGCUGGCGGCGUGCCUAAUACAUGCAAGUCGAACGCAGUGGGGACGGUUUAGUAACACGUGGGUAACCUCCCAUCAGAGGGGAUAACACUUGGCAACAGGUGCUAAACUGAUAUUGAUGGAUGGACCCGCGGUGCAUUAGCUAGUUGGUGGGGUAACGGCUCACCAAGGCCACGAUGCAUAGCCGAACUGAGAGGGUGAUCGGCCACACUGGGACUGAGACACGGCCCAGACUCCUACGGGAGGCAGCAGGAGGGAAUCUGCGGCAAUGGGCGAAAGUCUGACGGAGCAACGCCGCGUGAGUGAAGAAGGUUUUCGGAUCGUAAAACUCUGUUGUUAGAGAAGCGGUAUCUAACCAGAAAGCAACGGCUAACUACGUGCCAGCAGCCGCGGUAAUAC